GACGAACGCUGGCGGCGUGCCUAAUACAUGCAAGUUGAGCGAUGAAGCUUGGUGCUUGCACCAAUUUGAAGAGCAGCGAACGGGUGAGUAACGCGUGGGGAAUCUGCCUUUGAGCGGGGGACAACAUUUGGAAACGAAUGCUAAUACCGCAUAACAACUUUAAACAUAAGUUUUAAGUUUGAAAGAUGCAAUUGCAUCACUCAAAGAUGAUCCCGCGUUGUAUUAGCUAGUUGGUGAGGUAAAGGCUCACCAAGGCGAUGAUACAUAGCCGACCUGAGAGGGUGAUCGGCCACAUUGGGACUGAGACACGGCCCAAACUCCUACGGGAGGCAGCAGUAGGGAAUCUUCGGCAAUGGACGAAAGUCUGACCGGGCAACGCCGCGGGAGUGAAGAAGGUUUUCGGAUCGUAAAACUCUGUUGGUAGGGAAGAACGUUGGUGAGAGUGGAAAGCUCAUCAAGUGACGGUAACUACCCAGAAAGGGACGGCUAACUACGUG
rnacentral:rRNA from 1 species